rnacentral:tRNA from 1 species
AGGAGCCUCGUAUAAUGGUAGUACAACGGUCUCCAAAACCGUUAGCAUGGAUUCGAUUCCCCUGGCUCCUGCCA